rnacentral:lncRNA from 1 species
GGAGAUAUGGUUUGUGGAAGUUCCAUUCUCACCAAGAGUUUUAGAAGCUGCCUCUUUAAGAUCCUUCAUUUGAUAACGAAGCUUUUUCCCUUCUUCACCUUCCAUAAGACACUUAACAACACUAGCAAUUUCCAAUCUCUCAACCAACCCAUUCUCACCAACAUUUGGUCUCAACCCAACCUUAACAUCCUCAGUUAACAUAACAGCAUUCAUCUUUUGCUCUGCAUAAAGUGGCCAAACCACUAAAGGCACCCCAUUAACAACACUUUCUAGAACUGAAUUCCAACCACAAUGAGUUAAAAACCCACCAGUUGACCCAUGUGCCAAAACCUGUGGUUGUGGGGCCCAAGAUGACACAACUAGACCCCUUCCUUUAGUUCUCUCCAAAAAUCCAUUUGGUAAAAAAUCAAAUGGAUCAGAAUCUGUUUCAGCACUGAAGUAAGAAGCAUUAGCAACUUUAUCAUUUGGACUUCUAACAACCCAUAAAAACCGUUGCUCACUCAUUUCCAAGCCAAGUGCCAAUUCAACUAUCUGUUUACUAGAGAGGGUCCCACCACUUCCAAAAGAAACAAACAGAACACUCCCAUGUGGUUGAUUAUCUAACCAUUUCAAACUCUCUGAGUUCGGUCCAAUUUGACCUACUUCUACUUCUCUCUUUACUAAUGGUCCAACCGGGUAAAACUUAGGUUUUCCUGGUUCUUCCUUUAGUAACUCCUUGAUUGGACCCGGUUCAAGUUCAAGAAAACUAUUCUCUAUAAGUCCAUCUGCUUCUCUGUAUCUCUUCGCGUUGCGAAAGACACUUUGGUAAGCAUCGUUCUUCCUGUCUUGAAGAGGGUCUAGUAAAUAUUUACCGUGAAUAGGAAUACAACCGGGAAUUUUCACAGGUUCAGUCAAUUCUCUAAACUCGCAGUGAACUUCCUCGUCAAGACGAGGAAGGUAAAGGAAAAGAGAAAGAGCCAUGGCAGUUGAAGGGUAGAAGACAUAUUUAGGGACGUUGAAUUCUCUAGCGACGUCAAAAGCGUCUGUCCCAAAGAGGUCGACGACAACAGCAGUGAUAGUAUGAGUUUCAGAGAGAGUGUUGAAGUUUUGACGGAGAGAAGGGAGAGAACGGAGGACAGUGAGGGAGAUGAUUGUCUCUAUCCCGGAGUUUGGUGGAAGGUCUGAGAAGGAAACUGGUGGAAGGAAAGUAUGUGAAAUGAACUUUGGUAGAGAUUGAAGAACUGUUUUUUGAGCUUUUGAAGGUGGACCUUCGGUGGGAAUGAAGAAGGUGAUUUGAAGAUUUUGAUUAAGAAUAAUAAUUCUUUUGGCAAAUUCAAUCAUUGGUAUAAGAUGUCCCAUGCCUGGUGAUGGUAGCAUAACCACCAUAGGUGGUGGUUUAGAUAAUGGUUCUUGUUUUGAGAGUUCCAUGGAAAUGAAAAUGAUGCGUUUAGUAUUUUGGGUGGGUGAGAAUUGAGAAUUGUUGUUGUAAUGUUGAGAGUAUGUAUGAAGAGGAAUGGAAUAAUUAUAUAUAGAACAAAGAAAAGAGUUUUUAUUAUGGUCUGUCUGUAAAGGAGGCAGAGUUUGUUUAUUAAAUGAUUGGUUGGUGCUUUAGUGGCAGAUAUAUAUAUAUAUUAUAGCGCUUGAAUU